GAAGGUAUAGCUCAGUGGUAGAGUGUGUGCCUAGCAUGCAUGAGGUCCUGGGUUCAAUCCCCAGUACCUCCA
rnacentral:tRNA from 1 species